UACGUAGGGUGCAAGCGUUGUCCGGAAUUAUUGGGCGUAAAGAGCUCGUAGGCGGUCUGUCGCGUCGGAUGUGAAAACCCAGGGCUCAACCCUGGGCCUGCAUUCGAUACGGGCAGACUAGAGUUCGGUAGGGGAGACUGGAAUUCCUGGUGUAGCGGUGAAAUGCGCAGAUAUCAGGAGGAACACCGGUGGCGAAGGCGGGUCUCUGGGCCGAUACUGACGCUGAGGAGCGAAAGCGUGGGAGCGAACAGG
rnacentral:rRNA from 1 species